AAAUAGGACAAUAUCUGCUAGCGGUGGGCUUGGGGCGUUACAGGAAAUGCAUAGAUGUUGCAACUAAAUACGUUGAUGAAUGAUCGAUUUUAUUAUAUAAUAGCUAUGAGAUCUUAGUUCUGGACAAUUUAUGAGUAUACUCUUUGUUUUACUCGAUGUAUUACAUGUGUAUAUGAACACAUCUUAACCUCAGGUGUAUAUGUGUUAUAAAAGCCUGAACUUCAUGUUGCCUUUCAAAGCAAAAUCCGACUGCUCCCGAAGAUCUCUCUACCGUCUUAGGUUCUUUUCAUAUGUAGCUUGCAAGACUCCUGCUGGGGUCCGUAAGGCGACGAAAAAUGCGAAGAGCUGAGCUCGGAUAGUAUAUGCAUCCUUUUGUGUAUAUAGGCCUGCCCCACGUCCAUUCCUGUUCUUCUGUUCAGUGCAGCAUCAACAUUAUCUUUCAG